CCAGCUGAACUGGUCAAGGCCAAUACUAUUUCUUGGAAGCAGCUGAGUGGGUGAGUCUUUCUUUAGCUGAAGAGGAAGAAGAAGACACACAUCUGCUCUGCAAGGUUACAAGAACUUCAUCUGGACUUCAGCUGGGGUUAUGUGAGACAAGAAGGUUGUCACAAACAAAGAUAUCUCUGUCAAUAGAAGAGAAGUGGGAUUCCACCAAGCUAGGAGAAAGGAAAGUGUAUUGUGGGAACAAAGAACUUUACAUAUUAAUUCAGAAGCAGCACAUGAGAAGGAAGACAGAAUCUCCUCAGACAGUCUAGAACUGGAAGAACUGUGCUAGAGAAACAAGUUCAAAGAUCAAGUGUGGUUGUUAAGAAGUAUCAGUGAAGAAGAUGAUUUUGCUAAUGUCAGUUCAAAUUUGGUGACCAAAGCCAAUGAAAAUUCUAAAAUUACUAGGAAAAAAUAAAGAGGGAAAAUGAGAUAAA